CCGGGAUUUCAGGGAUUUCAGGGAUUUCAGGGGUUUGGGGGUCAGGGAGGAGGAAGAGGAGGAAGAGGAAGGUCGGGGUCUCCAGGUGGAUCCGGAGCUGGGAUCUGUCCCAGGGGUUGAGCACCAGGAUCGGGGUUGGGAUUUGGGGCAGGUCCUGAUCCCGAAUUCCCACAGGAAUUGUGGAUGAUGUCAGGGUCAGGAUCGGGGUCAGGGUCAGGAUCGGGGCUGGGAUUUGGGGAUGGAUCUGAUCCCGAAUUCCUGCAGGAAUUGUGGAUGAUGUCAGGGUCAGGAUUGGGGUCAGGAUCAGGAUCGGGGACGGGAUUUGGGGCAGGUCCUGAUCCCAAAUUCCCACAGGAAUUGUGGAUGAUGUCAGGGUCAGGAUUGGGGUCAGGGUCAGGAUCGGGGACGGGAUUUGGGGCAGGUCCUGAUCCCAAAUUCCCACAGGAAUUGUGGAUGAUGUCAGGAUCAGGAUUGGGGUCAGGAUCAGGAUCGGGGACGGGAUUUGGGGCAGGUCCUGAUCCCGAAUUCCCACGGCAGGAAUUGUGGAUGAUGUCAGGGUCAGGAUUGGGGUCAGGAUCAGGAUCGGGGCUGGGAUUUGAGGAUGGAUCUGAUCCCAAAUUCCCACGGCAGGAAUUGCGAUCAGGAUCAGGAUCGGGGUCAGGAUUUUGGGGCCGAAUCUGAUCCCGAAUUUCCACAGGAACUGGAAGCAGCCUCGGGAUCAGGAUCAGGAUCAGGGCUGGGAUUUGGGGAUGGAUCCUGAUCCCGAAUUCCUGCAGAAAUUGUGGACGGUGUCAGGGUCAGGAUUGGGGUCAGGAUUGGGGUCAGGAUUGGGAUUUGGGGACGGAUCUGAUCCCGAAUUUCCACAGGAACUGGAAGCAGCCUCGGGAUCAGGAUCAGGAUCAGGAGUGGGGCUGGGAUUUUGGGACGGAUCCUGAUCCCGAAUUCCCACAGCAGGAAUUGUGAACGGCCUCGGGAUCGGGGUCAGGAUUGGGGUCGGGAUCGGGAUCGGGGCUGGGCUUUGGGGCCGAAGCUGAUCCCGGAUUUCCACGGCAGGAAUUGCGAGCGGUGUCGGGAUCAGGAUCAGGAUCAGGAUCAGGAGUGGGGCUGGGAUUUGGGGACGGAUCCUGAUCCCGAGUUUCCGCAGGAAUUGCGAGCGGCCUCGGUGGUGCAGUCGCAGCCGCUGGGGGGGGGGAAGGAGGAGAAGCUGCACUCGCCCGUGAUCCGAACCGAGACCUUCAGCCCCCCCCUGCGCCAGGAGCCCCCCAAGGGCCACCCCG
rnacentral:lncRNA from 1 species